GAUAGGCAAUGGCACCCACGCAUGUGGCAGGUGGAGGCCAGUGGCAGCACCAUUAUUCCUUAGUGCCAUCUUGGGCUGAGGGGACCUUGGGAUAAUCAUUCCAGUCUCUCCUCCCAGCACACAAGGCUGUGCAUCUGCUGGAGUCAGUGCAUGGCAGCAUCAGUUUCUACUUCAUUGCAGGGCAACAGGCAAGAAAAAAAUACAGACCUCUACGAAAGUCAUAAAGAUGAAAACAGAACAGAUAUAAAUGUAAAGCAUCCCCACCAAAGGACACACGACUGUUUCAUGGAAGGUCCUCCCUGCUACAGUGAAUGCCCGCCCUGAACCUGUGGAGCAGCCAAUCGGCAGAGGAGCCAACAGCUGAUUAAUCAGAUGGCAAAAGUGGGUGCUGGGAGGAACCUUUUCUGAAAAUAUGUUUUCUUCAAUUUUUCUUUUAAAUGAUUUCAUAAGUAUACUUCUUCUAUCUCUUAUCCCACAAUAAAGGCAAAUGAACUUCAACUCCACAAUAACCGGCCUGUUUUCUAAUUUGAAACGAUGUAUUUCAGUACCUUUUUUUUUUUUUUUUUUGACAUUUUUAACCUUUUAUUGUACAUACUGUUUGACUUAUUUCAAUACACAUGGAUACAAUCAAUCAAUUAAAUAAUGAAUCAACACACAUUUUCUUUUUUCU